rnacentral:rRNA from 1 species
UACGGGGGGGGCAAGCGUUGUUCGGAAUUACUGGGCGUAAAGAGCGCGCAGGCGGCCAAGUCAGUCGAAUGUGAAAGCCCCCGGCUCAACUGGGGAGGGUCAUUCGAUACUGCUCGGCUCGAAGACAGGAGAGGGAAGUGGAAUUCCCGGUGUAGUGGUGAAAUGCGUAGAUAUCUGGAGGAACACCGGUGGCGAAGGCGGCAUCCUGGACCGAUAUUGACGCUGAGGAGCGAAAGCCAGGGGAGCAAACGGG